AGGGCAACAGCCCAGAUCGUCAGCGAAGGUCCCUAAAUGUAAGUUAAGUGGUAAAGGAUGUGGGAUUGCACAGACAACCAGGAUGUUGGCUUAGAAGCAGCCACUCAUUCAAAGAGUGCGUAAUAGCUCACUGGUCGAGUGAUCCUGCGCCGAAGAUUUCCGGGGCUAAAACUUACUACCGAAGCUACGGCAUCAGUAAUGAUGGGUAGGGGAGCUUCCCAUACGGGUUGAAGCAUGACCGUAAGGACAUGUGGACAGUAUGGGAGUGAGAAUGUUGGCAUGAGUAGCGAGAUGUGGGUG
rnacentral:rRNA from 1 species